rnacentral:rRNA from 1 species
GACGAACGCUGGCGGCGUGCUUAACACAUGCAAGUCGAACGGAAAGGCCCUGCUUGCAGGGUACUCGAGUGGCGAACGGGUGAGUAACACGUGGGUGAUCUGCCCUGCACUUCGGGAUAAGCCUGGGAAACUGGGUCUAAUACCGGAUAGGAGCCAUUUUUAGUGUGAUGGUUGGAAAGUUUUUUCGGUGUAGGAUGAGCUCGCGGCCUAUCAGCUUGUUGGUGGGGUAAUGGCCUACCAAGGCGGCGACGGGUAGCCGGCCUGAGAGGGUGGACGGCCACAUUGGGCUGGGGACACCGCCCAGCCCCCUACGGGGGGCAGCGGUGGGGAAUUUUGCACAAUGGGCCCAAGCCUGAUGCCGCGCCCCCGCGGGGGGGAUGACGGCCUUCGGUUUUUAAACCCCUUUCCCUGGGGACGAAGCUUUUUGUGACGGUACCUAGAUAAGAAGCCCCGGCUAACUACGU